rnacentral:rRNA from 1 species
CCUACGGGAGGCUGCAGUAGGGAAUCUUCCACAAUGGACGAAAGUCUGAUCGAGCAACGCCGCGUGAGUGAAGAAGGGUUUCGGCUCGUAAAGCUCUGUUUGUGGUGAAGAAAGAUAUAAGUAGUAACUGGCCUUUAUUUGACGGUAAUUACUUACAAAGUCACGGCUAACUACGUGCCAGCAGCCGCGGUAUUACGUAGGUGGCAAGCGUUGUCCGGCUUUAUUGGGGUUAAAGCGAGUGCGGGCGGUUCAAUAAGUCUAAUGUGAAAGCCUUCGGCUCAACCGGGGCAUUGCAUCAGAAACUGUUGAACUUGAGUGCAGAAGAGGAGAGUGGAAUUCCAUGUGUAGCGGUGGAAUGCGUAGAUAUAUGGAAGAACACCAGUGGCGAAGGCGGCUCUCUGGUCUGCAACUGACGCUGAGGCUCGAAAGCAUGGGUAGCGAACAGGAUUAGAUACCCCAGUAGUC